UCUGUACAAAAUAACUAAAAGUUAAUGUAUCUUUGUAUCAUAUUUAUUAUAUAUACAGAAACACAAACGACAAACUUUUUUCCACUCAUUAUCACUUUUAU